rnacentral:rRNA from 1 species
ACGCUCGACACCUACGGGAGGAGCAGUGGGGAAUAUUGCACAAUGGGGGAAACCCUGAUGCAGCAACGCCGCGUGAAGGAAGACGGUUUUCGGAUUGUAAACUUCUGUUCUUAGUGAAGAUAGUGACGGUAGCUAAGGAGCAAGCCACGGCUAACUACGUGCCGGCAGCCGCGGUAAUCUGAGCGGGCUGGCAAGGC